rnacentral:ncRNA from 1 species
AAAUCGCUGGAGUGGAACCGAGACAGUUGAUGUUGCUUGGAGACAUCUGGUGGCUGAUCGCUUAGCUGUGAUCGCCGCCGGGAGUCGUUUCCUAUGCUACGCCGACGGCGUUGGCCGCUCGUCUGGCCCGACAGUGUUGCCCAUCUCGCAAGAGACGGUGUCUUGUUGUCGGUCGUUGGUUCGUGGUGGCUAGCGUUUAGUUACGCUAGUGUGUGUGACGUCGGUGUGAAAGUCGACGACGUUUCCGACCCGUCUUGAAACACGGAUUACGGAGUGUUUGUCUGCUGCGAGUCAAAGGGUGUAAAAACCUUGCGGCGCAAUGAAAGUGAAGGUUAGUCUCGAACUGACCGACGUGGGAUCCGUGCUCUUCGGAGUGCGGCGCACCACGGCCCUAUGCGUGUCACUUGUGACUGUGUAGAGGUUGAGCAGUAGGCAAGCGACCCGAAAGAUGGUGAACUAUGCCUGAGCAGGAUGAAGCCAGAGGAAACUCUGGUGGAAGUCCGUAUCGGUUCUGACGUGCAAAUCGAUCGAUAGACUUGGGUAUAGGGGCGAAAGACUAAUCGAACCAUCUAGUAGCUGGUUCCUUCCGAAGUUUCCCUCAGGAUAGCUGGAACUCUUGCAGUUAUAUUCGGUAAAGCUAAUGAUUAGAGGCCUUGGGGACGUAAUGUCCUCAACCUAUUCUCAAACUUUCAAUGGAUAUGGCGUCGCAGUUUCUUUAGUGAACUGCGGCGUGAAUGCGAGUUCCAAGUGGGCCAUUUUUGGUAAGCAGAACUGACGCUGUGGGAUGAACCAAACGUGGAGUUAAGGUGCCUAACUUCUCGCUUAUGAGACCCCAUAAAAGGUGUUGGUUGAUAUUGACAGCAGGACGGUGGCCAUGGAAGUCGGUACCCGCUAAGGAGUGUGUAACAACUCACCUGCCGAAUCAACUAGCCCUGAAAAUGGAUGGCGCUUAAGCGAGAGACCUAUACUCCGCCGUCGCGGCAUGUGCGUUGUCUAGCGCCAGGUCGCGACGAGUAGGAAGGACGUGGCGGUUGCGUUGAAGGCUAUGAGCGUAGGCUCGGCUGGAGCUUCCGUCAGUGCAGAUCGUAAUGGUAGUAGCAAAUAUUCAAGUUCGAUCCUUGAAGACUGAAGUGGAGAAGGGUUCCACGUGAACAGUAGUUGGAUGUGGGUCAGUCGAUCCUAAGGUACUGGCGAAAGCCUUGUAUCAUCGGUGGCGAAAAGCUUGCUUUUUGUCCCCGCCCGUCGAAAGGGAAUAGGGUUAAUAUUCCCUAACUGAGAUGCAAAGAUUGUGUUCUUCGGAGCACAAGCGCGGUAACGCGUUCGAACUUGGUAAGUCGCUCAGAGACCGAGCUAGAGUUUUCUUCUCUAGUUAAGGAACGGACUCCCUGGAAUUGGUUCAGCCAGAGAUGGGGACGUUGU